rnacentral:tRNA from 1 species
GGCUCUAUAGUGUAGUGGUUAUCACUCAAGAUUCUGAUCAUAAUGUCAUCUUCUUGUAACGCCGGUUCGAAUCCGGCUAGGGCCU